GAGGUUGUGGCUCAGAGGUAGAGCAUUCCCCUAGCACGUGUGAGGCCCUGGGUUCAAUCCUCAGCACCACA
rnacentral:tRNA from 1 species